AUUGAACGCUGGCGGCAGGCCUAACACAUGCAAGUCGAGCGGAUGAAGGGAGCUUGCUCCUGGAUUCAGCGGCGGACGGGUGAGUAAUGCCUAGGAAUCUGCCUGGUAGUGGGGGAUAACGUCCGGAAACGGGCGCUAAUACCGCAUACGUCCUGAGGGAGAAAGUGGGGGAUCUUCGGACCUCACGCUAUCAGAUGAGCCUAGGUCGGAUUAGCUAGUUGGUGGGGUAAAGGCCUACCAAGGCGACGAUCCGUAACUGGUCUGAGAGGAUGAUCAGUCACACGGGAGCGGGGACGCGGGCCAGGGUCCUACGGGAGGGAGCAGUGGGGGAUAUUGGACAAUGGGCGAAAGCCUGAUCCAGCCAUGCCGCGUGUGUGAAGAAGGUCUUCGGAUUGUAAAGCACUUUAAGUUGGGAGGAAGGGCAGUAAGUUAAUACCUUGCUGUUUUGACGUUACCAACAGAAUAAGCACCGGCUAACUUCGUG
rnacentral:rRNA from 1 species